rnacentral:rRNA from 1 species
AUUGAACGCUGGCGGCAGGCCUAACACAUGCAAGUCGAGCGGAUGACGGGAGCUUGCUCCUUGAUUCAGCGGCGGACGGGUGAGUAAUGCCUAGGAAUCUGCCUGGUAGUGGGGGACAACGUUUCGAAAGGAACGCUAAUACCGCAUGCGUCCUACGGGAGAAAGCAGGGGACCUUCGGGCCUUGCGCUAUCAGAUGAGCCUAGGUCGGAUUAGCUUGUUGGUGAGGUAAUGGCUCACCAAGGCGACGAUCCGUAACUGGUCUGAGAGGAUGAUCAGUCACACUGGAACUGAGACACGGUCCAGACUCCUACGGGAGGCAGCAGUGGGGAAUAUUGGACAAUGGGCGAAAGCCUGAUCCAGCCAUGCCGCGUGUGUGAAGAAGGUCUUCGGAUCGUAAAGCACUUUAAGUUGGGAGGAAGGGUUGUAGAUUAAUACUCUGCAAUUUUGACGUUACCGACAGAAUAAGCACUGGCUAACUCUGUGCCAGCCGCCGCCGUAACAC